GGAAGUAAAAGUCGUAACAAGAUUUCCGUAGGUGAACCUGCGGAAGGAUCAUUAAUGAGUUGUCAUGGGGUUCGAUGCUGGCAGCCAGUUUUUGGAUGCAUGUGCUUGCCCUAACAAUCAUCUUCUUCCAAACACCUGUGCACAUUUUUGAGGGAGUCUUGAGUUGGUUGCCGCUCUUGGGUGAUUUUCUCACAUUCCCUUAAAUCAUUAUACGCUAUUAACAAUGUUGAACGUGCUCUGUGCCGCAAGGCCAUUAAUAUAAUACAACUUUUAACAACGGAUCUCUUGGCUCUC
rnacentral:misc_RNA from 1 species